rnacentral:lncRNA from 1 species
UGGAGCAAAAGGUUGCUUGUUGAUUCACGAUGGAGUAGAUGCACGGAGGAGGGAGUUUUUUUGCGUCGUGGUUGGGUCGUGAGGGAUUCCAACAGACCAAUUCACAGUAGGGUUAUGGUGGAUUUCUAAUGUGAAGGUAAAGUAUAUGGAAGAUGUUGUUGUGAGCCGAAGGUGUACGGUGGUAGUGAGCUCGUGGUGGUGGAUCUGUGAGCGGAAGAUGGACGGAAAGAGAGGCGAAGGUUGUUUUGUGGAGUUUGAGAGAGUGAGGGUUACGUGAAGUGAAGAAGAGGAAAGGUGUUUUUCUUUCUUAUCUUUCUCAAAGAAGUGAGAGAGAGGAGAGAUAACAGGAUAAUGGUGCGGCCG